UCCGCACCUUCAGCCAGUUUCUACCCCAGCACGGCGAGAUGCACUCUGGGAGCGCUUUAACAUCUGCUAAAAACAUCAAAAUAUUUGUUUAGAAAUGUUAUCACAUGUAAACGGUGCUUAAUCUGUGCAUAUUUUUCUUCCGAUUUAGAUAAGACAACUUUUGGAUAGGCAAUUCAUAUUUUUAGCCAGAAGCAAUGUUUUGAAGUUAAAAACAUCUUGAUAGAUUAAUUUAUUACAAAAUUUGCUUCAAGAUGUUAACUGAUUGACUGGAGUUGUAUGGAUUAUUGUGAUAUUUUUAUGAGCUGUUUGGACUCUCAUUCUGACGGCACCCAUUCACUGCAGAGGAUGCAUUGGUGAAGUGAGUUCAGCUGGUGGCAGUAAUGCAUCAAAAUCCUAUGAACUCAAGAAGACAACAGACUCUCGAUGGUGGAAAAUGAUUUCUUCAGCUGAGUGGACAGGAUCUGGUUGAGUCAUUGCUGGCUGAAGGUGUGUGUCACUGUCACCUCACCGCACAACAGUGUCCUCCAAACACCUCAUCAACCCAGAGAUGGAUGCUGUCCACUGUGACUCCCUGUAACUGUCGCCCGUGGGCUUCUCUCCUGCAACCCGGACCUGUUUCUGAUAUGAGGCCAUCUUUUCAUUUGAGCAUCACCUAAUUUCCUGAUGAACAGCCGGUCGACGGGAAGGACGUGCUGCGGGACUAUCACAUUACCCAGAGGACAAUUGAUUUAUCAAACAGAAUUACAAUGGUUUAUGUCGUGGCACGCACACUAAUGAUCUGAACUUAAGUUCAUUCUCUGUCCUCCUUCAGAACAGAUUGUUUGUGCGAGUGUAUCUGUGGGUGUGUGCUGAUCUUUGGUUAGGAGACGGCUAGAAUAUGAACCUUUGCAAUGUCAAAUGUGGCCGAGUCCUUUUGAUGAGCAGCAGUGGUUAUCCCGCUGUGA